UGCCCUAUUGUCUGGAUACCCUCGGAAAACUGAGAACAAGGCCGGAUAGCCCACACUGCCUGAAACGGUUUGUGGAUGAAGCUUACAUAAGGAUGGGUCUGCGGCGUAUCAGGUUGUAGGGGGGGUAAUGGACCUCCUACCCUUCUACGCAUACGGUUGUUGGAAUAAAUAUCCCGAAGAUGGAUUCUGAAACACUAAUCCAAACCCUCCGGGUAGCAGCAGGCGCGAAAACUUCAAAUUGUAGGAAACUGUGAUGAGGAACCUCCAAGUGCAGGCUCAUGGUGGAUGCUUUUCUUAACUUUUAAUCGGUUAGGAAAGAAGGGCUGUUAAAGACCGUUGCCUGCCGCCACGGUAAUACCGGAUCCUCACUUGGUCGUCCUUUUUUUUGACCCUAAAUACCCCUUACCUUGUUUGGUAAAUCUGUGAGUAAAUCAACCUGAUUAAUUGGUUUAUUUCUGAAAAGACUGCCAUACUAGGGACUGGAAAAGGGGAGGGUUAUUCUCGGGAUAAGGGUAAAUUUUUGUCUUCCUGGGAGGACCUCCCCUUGCGAAGCCCCCAUGCUGGAACGUAUCCGACCGUCA
rnacentral:rRNA from 1 species